rnacentral:rRNA from 1 species
AGAGUUUGAUCCUGGCUCAGGAUGAACGCUGACAGAAUGCUUAACACAUGCAAGUCGACUCGAGUCUUCGGACUUGGGUGGCGCACGGGUGAGUAACGCGUAAAGAACUUGCCUCUUAGACCGGGACAACAUCUGGAAACGGAUGCUAAUACCGGAUAUUAUGGCUUUUUUCGCAUGGAGGAAUCAUGAAAGCUAGAUGCGCUAAGAGAGAGCUUUGCGUCCCAUUAGCUAGUUGGUGAGGUAACGGCCCACCAAGGCAAUGAUGGGUAGCCGGCCUGAGAGGGUGAACGGCCACAAGGGGACUGAGACACGGCCCUUACUCCUACGGGAGGCAGCAGUGGGGAAUAUUGGACAAUGGACCACAAGUCUGAUCCAAGCAAUUCUGUGUGCACGAUGACGUUUUUCGGAAUGUAAAGUGCUUUCAGUCGGGAAGAAGUCAGUGACGGUACCGACAGAAGAAGCGACGGCUAAAUACGUGCCAGCCGCGGC